rnacentral:rRNA from 1 species
UACGUAGGGCGCAAGCGUUGUCCGGAAUUAUUGGGCGUAAAGAGCUCGUAGGCGGCUUGUCACGUCGGGUGUGAAAGCCCGGGGCUUAACCCCGGAUCUGCAUUCGAUACGGGCAGGCUAGAGUGUGGUAGGGGAGAGCGGAAUUCCUGGUGUAGCGGUGAAAUGCGCAGAUAUCAGGAGGAACACCGGUGGCGAAGGCGGAUCUCUGGGCCAUUACUGACGCUGAGGAGCGAAAGCGUGGGGAGCGAACAGG